rnacentral:lncRNA from 1 species
AAUUUACCUCGAUCAACGGUCAGAAAACUCUCCAGUGCGGUGGCGGGUGGCGGCGGCCGGCUCCUCCGGCGUCUGGUUCGUCUUCUCCGGCGAGGGCUGGCGGCUAGGGUUUUUGUGGUCAGGUGUGGGGGGUUUAUUUAUACCCUUUGCCUUUUAAUCACAGCCGUCCAUCUUGAUUUAAUCUGGACCGUUCGAUCGCGAUUUAAUUUGGAUUAAAUCUGGGCCGUCCAUUGCGAUUAAAUCUGGACCGUCCGUGCGCGUGCAUCUGGGCCGUCCGUGCGCACGCUUGAUCCAGGCCGUCCGUGCGCGCGGGAACGCAUCUGGGCCGUUCG